GCCGGCGGGGCGCGCGGCGGUGCGGGCGGGUGACUGGCGGCGGGCGCCGCGGUCGGGCUGGCUGCCGGGCAGCAUGGAGGAGCUGAGCAGCGUGGGCGAGCAGGUCUUCGCCGCCGAGUGCAUCCUGAGCAAGCGGCUCCGCAAGGUGCGUGCGGCCCGCCGGGCCCCCCGCCCGCCGCCCGCUGCCCGUCUGGCUCACGGCCCCUCUUCUCUCCCCGCAGGGCAAGCUGGAGUACCUGGUCAAGUGGCGCGGCUGGUCCUCCAAACAUAACAGCUGGGAGCCGGAGGAGAACAUCCUGGACCCGAGGCUGCUCCUGGCCUUCCAGAAGAAGUGAGGACGCUGACAGCACUGUGGGGAGGGUGUGGGGGAGGGACGGUGGCUGGUUGGAGUCGUGCUGGGCGCUGCUCGCCUGCCGGGAGGCUGGAGCUGGGGCUGUGGUCUGAGGUCCCUUAGCAAGAUUGUGUCCAGGGCCAUCUCUGUGGCUGGCUGUAAAAGUCCCCAGCCAGCCCCUCUCCCACCUUCUCCUAGCCAGCCUGUAUCCAUCCCUGAGAAGACCCCAAGUAAGUGCUGCUUUGAUGUUUCCAACAGCCAUACUUGCAAAAACCAACUUUUUCAGUUGCUUCAGAUAAAGAUGUUAUAGCUUC
rnacentral:sRNA from 1 species